rnacentral:rRNA from 1 species
UACGGAGGGUGCAAGCGUUAUCCGGAAUUACUGGGUUUAAAGGGUGCGUAGGCGGCUUGAUAAGUCAGGGGUGAAAGACUAUCGCUUAACGAUAGAAUUGCCUUUGAUACUGUAAAGCUUGAAAGGGGUUGAGGUCAGCAGAAUGUGGCAUGUAACGGUGAAAUGCAUAGAGAUGCCAUAGAACGCCGAUUGCGAAGGCAGCUGGCUGGGCCUACUUUGACGCUGAGGCACGAAAGCGUGGGGAGCGAACAGG